rnacentral:rRNA from 1 species
GACGAAGGGGGCUAGCGUUGUUCGGAAUUACUGGGCGUAAAGCGCGUGUAGGCGGUUAUCCAAGUCGGGUGUGAAAGCCUUGAGCUCAACUCAAGAAAUGCAUUCGGUACUGGGUGACUAGAGGACCGGAGAGGAUAGUGGAAUUCCCAGUGUAGUGGUGAAAUACGUAGAGAUUGGGAAGAACACCAGUGGCGAAGGCGGCUACCUGGACCGGUUCUGACGCUGAUGCGCGAAAGCGUGGGUAGCAAACAGG